rnacentral:rRNA from 1 species
GACGAACGCUGGCGGCGUGCUUAACACAUGCAAGUCGAACGGAAAGGCCCUGCUUUUGUGGGGUGCUCGAGUGGCGAACGGGUGAGUAACACGUGAGUAACCUGCCCUUGACUUUGGGAUAACUUCAGGAAACUGGGGCUAAUACCGGAUAGGAGCUCCUGCUGCAUGGUGGGGGUUGGAAAGUUUCGGCGGUUGGGGAUGGACACACGGCUUAUCAGCUUGUUGGUGGGGUAGUGGCUUACCAAGGCUUUGACGGGUAGCCGGCCUGAGAGGGUGACCGGCCACAUUGGGACUGAGAUACGGCCCAGACUCCUACGGGAGACAGCAGUGGGCAAUAUUGCACAAUGGGCGGAAGCCUGAUGCAGCAACGCCGCGUGCGGGAUGACGGCCUUCGAGUUGUAAACCGCUUUCGCCUGUGACGAAGCGUGAGUGACGGUAAUGGGUAAAGAAGCACCGGCUAACUACGUG